ACUGAGUCAGGAUGGUGUUUCCAAUGUUGGUGGUUCUUUUGUUAGGCUUUCUGAGUCAGGAGUCACUUGCCAAUUUUCUGACUCAGACUGACGAAGUCAAGUCUGUCAGUCUUGGUGGGACUGUGACCAUCAGCGCCACAGGAAGUUCAAAUAUUGGUCCUGAUCUCAGUUGGUACCUUCAGAGACCUGGACAGCCUCCCAAACUGCUUAUAUACAAAGCAUCAACUCACUCCUCAGGAACUCCGUCUCGAUUCAGUGGCAGUAGAUCUGGUUCUCAGUACACUUUAACCAUCAGUGGGUUUCAGGCUGAAGAUGCUGGAGAUUAUUACUGUCUGGGCAACCAUGGUGGUGGAGUGUUCACACAGUGAUUUAUAGCUGUACAAAAACCUCCUUCAGUCUGGCUGAAGGCUGCAGGUGCAGAGUGACAGACUGCAAUAACUGAUCAACUCACGGCCACAAGAGCAAAAACACAAUGAAUCUAAACAAAACUGAAGAAAUACACGGUUGUAUUUAUAAAAAAUUUUACUUAAAUAUGUCUCAAUGAACAAAAAAU